rnacentral:lncRNA from 10 species
GUCGGUACUUGAAGAAGCGGAGCCAGGGCUGAGAUCCCGAAGGCGGGCGAGGCCGCAGUUCGGGGGCCACGCCCCGGCGUGCUCGGGUCACCGCGGGAAGCCCUUGAACCCCCUGGCGCCCGGCACCCACGUGCGGUAACCGCGGCUCCUCGAGAGCUCCAGGGAUGCGGAUCUACAGUAAGGGCUGUGGCCAGAUGAAUGAAUGCACAUUUUUUAGUGGGCAGAAAGAUGUUAGAAUUCAUGAAUUAGAAUAAGCACAAAGGAGGGCGAGAGGGGAGGCCGUGGAAGCCGCAUUCCUCCCCUUGCCUUGGGCGCCCACCCCCGAAGGGGCGCGUCCCCUCCCUGCUCCACUGCACGUGGGUGUUUAACCAGGGGAUAUCCAGUGCCUCAAGCACCACGACCCGGGAGAAAACUGAGUUGAGAAGGUCUUCUAACAAGCCUUUUGCACACCUGCCAUGUAUUUUGUCAGGCCUUGGGGAUGAAGGUGAGAAAUUCGAGAAUCCCCGGAGAUAACACAUCAGCAAAUAGUGCGCAGGCAGAACAAGCUGUUGGAGGUGAGAGACACAGAGCAGAGAAGCACCCGCACCUGGAGAGUCAGGAGGGCCUCACAUCAGAACGCCUGAGCAAAUACAGUUUUGAAGGAUACUAAUUUUUUAAAAAGUUCAUUCACAUGAGUUAGACAAAGAGAAAGAAGCAGGACAUUCUAGGAAGAAGGAACGGCCCAGGCAAAAGCGACGCGUACAUUGGCGUGGGUCCAUUCAAGAAUUGUGCCCACAAUAUACCAGGCACUUGUCCAGACCUGCAUCGUCCAAUGCCCACCUCGACCUCCCAAAGUGUUGGGAUUAGAGGCGUGAGCCACCGCGCCCUGCCUGCAUGUGGCUAUUGAGAUGUGCUGUAUGAUACACACCGGACUUUGAAGACUCAGUGUGAAAAAUAAAAAGAAUUUUAAGAGGGGUGGGGGUCGAGGGGAGGCAGAGCAGUAGGACAAAUAGCUAAUGCACGCAGGGCUUAAAACCUAGACAACAGGUUGAUGGGUGCAGCAAACCACCAUGACACAUGUUUAUCUAUAUAGCACCUACAUGUUCUGCACUUGUAUCCUGGAACUUAAAAUUAGAAAAAAAAAAUAAUAAAAGCCAACAUGGCAUUCAUUACUGCCAAAAAAAUUAAAACACAUUGUUAAUUUUGUAUAUUGAUUACAGGUUGAACUGAUAAUAUUUUGAAUAUAUUGGGUUAAAGAAAUACAUUUAAAAUUAGUGGCUAGGCACAGUGGCUCAUGCCUGUAACCCCAGCACUUUGGGAGGCUGAGGCGGGUGGAUCACCUGAGGUCUGGAGUUCGAGAUGAGCCUGGCCAACAUGGUGAAACCCCAUUUCUACUAAAAAUACAAAAAUCAGCCGGGUGUGGUGGUGAGUGCCUGUAAUCCCAACUACUUGGGAGGCUGAGGCAGGAGAAUCGUUUGAACCCGGGAGGUGUAGGUUACAGUGAGCCGAGAUUGUCCCACUGCACUCCAGCCUGGGUGACAGAGUGAGACUCCAUCUUAAUAAUAAUAAUAAAACUAUUUCUUGCUGUUUUACUUUUCUAAUGUGACCACCAGAAAAGUUUAGAUGGCUUGUGUGACUCUCAUCAUUGAACGGAGCUGUUCUAAACAUGGGUAAGACAACGCAGAGCUUCGGUUGCAGGACAGAGAAUGAAAUAAUAGACCCAUAAGACAGAUAAGUGACUGAUUGUGACUGCUAGGGUGUUUACAGCAUAGGCCGGUGACAGGAACGAGGAGUGUGGGGAUGAGAGCCGACGUGGGCGAGAGUGCAUGCAAUGCAGGGUCAGACGUUGGAUUCAUCUCUCAGGAGUUGAAAAAGGUGGCGUUCCUGUUCUUUAUUGGCAUUGCUUGUGACACGAGGAUUGCCCCUCUUCCUGAAGAGGUUGGUCAGGAAAAUUUUUUGUUAACUUUUAUUUUAGGUUUGAGGGUCCAUGUGCAGGUUUGUUUCAUGAGUAAACUCAUGUCAUGGGGGAUGGGUGUACAGAUAAUUUCAUCACUGAGGAAUAAGCCUAGUACCCGAUGGGUAUUUUUUCGGAUCUUCUCCCUCCUCCCAUCCUCCACCCUCAGGUAGGCCCCGUUGCCCACCGUUCCCCUCCUAAUAUCCCUGUGUUCUCGCUGUGGAGCUCCCACUUAUAAGUGAGAACACGCGGUGUUUGGUUUUCUGUUUCUGCCUUAGCUUGCCUCCACCUCUAUCCAUAGUGCUGCAAAGGACAUGAUCUCGUUCCUUUUUUAUGGCUUCAUGGUAUUCCACGAUGUAAAUGUACCACAUUUGCUUUGUCAAGUCUACUGUGGAUGGGCAUUUAUGUUGAUUCCACAUCUUUGCUAUCAUGAAUAGUGUUGUGGUGAACAUACACCUGCAUGUGUCUUUAUGGUAGAACGAUUUAGAUUCCUCUGGGUAUAUACCCAGUCAUGGGAUUGCUGGGUUGCAUGGUAGUUCUGUUUUAAGUUCUUUGCAGAAUCACUAUGCUGCUUUCCGCAAUGGUUGAACUAAUUUGCACUCUCAAUAUUAUAUUGUCUAUAGCUGAGAAAGCUGAAAUGUAAAGAUUAAGUCACUUGUCCUCAGACAUGUAGACAGGAAGUGGUACAGCCAGGACUCAAACCUGCCUCCAGAGCCCGUCCUCCUAAACCUAAGUCAUGGUUUUCAAAGUGUGGUCCUUGGAUCAGCAGCAAAAGCACCACCUGGGCACUCAUUAGACAUGGAAAUUCUGGGCCUCAACCCGGACCUCAGCAUGGGAAUCCCUGGGGGUGGAGCCCGGCGGUUUGUGUUUGGGCAGCCCCAGCUGACUCUGAGGCACCAUCAGGUUGGAGGCCACAGUGGGUGAUAGUCCCUGCCCUGUGGUAGCAGCCGGCCUCCCUCCUUCAUUUCUGUUAUUCCAUCUCCUUCUUAAAACAACCCUGUGAGGCUGGCAGGGCAGAUGUCGAUUUUAUUUAACAGAUGAAGAAACUGACCCUUGAGGUUUUAUGACUUACCCAAAGUCAUCGCAUUAGUUUUGGAACUGAAACUUCAAUGGCAGAUCUUCUGGCUGUUAGUCUGAGACUGGAACUAGUACCCACAAGGACUCUGGGAGCAGUAAGGUCAGAGCAGGAGCUACUGCUUCAUUUCAUUGCCUCUAGUGAAGGAGGAGGGGGGUUCCCAGAGCACGGCUUCUCCAUGGGUCUAGCCCAUGAUAGCUGGGUGCUUACCCUGAUGUGCUGAUGAGAUUCUGCCUUAUCUCCUGCAAGCCAUUUGUGCUGUGCUAGGAUUAAACAGUACACUUUGGAACCUUAGCUGCCCACACCCUGAGAGCCAAUCACGCAGAACCCACAGGAAAUCUCGGGGCAGAAGUAGUUUGCCAUAAAUGUCCAUUUUCUCAUUUUUUGUUGUUGUGACGGGGUCUUGCUCUGUCGCCGAGGCUGGAGUGCAUUGGCGCAAUCAUAGCGCACUGCAGCCUCAACCUCCUGGGCUCAAGUCAUCUUUCCACCUCAACCUCCAAAAUAGCUGGUAUUACAGGUGUGCGCCUCCUGUAUAAUUAAAAAAAAAACAUGUUUUGAGGCCGGGUGUGGCGGCUCAUGCCUGUAAUCCCAGCACUUUGGGAGGCCAAGGCGGGUGGAUCAUGAGGUCAAGAGAUUGAGAUCAUCCUGGCCAACAUGGUGAACCCCCGUCUCUACUAAAAAUACAAAAAAUUAGCCGGGCGUGGUGGCAGGCACUUUUAAUCCCAGCUACUUGGGAGGGUGAGGCAGGAGAAUCGCUUGAACCUGGGAGGUGUAGCUUGCAGUGAGCUGAGAUCACACCACUGCACUCCAGCCUGGGCAAAAAGAGUGAAACUCUGUCUCAAAAAAAAAAAUGUUUUGAGGUUACAGGGAGCUAUGAUCACACUACUGCACUCCAGUCUAGAUAACAGAGCGAGACCCUGUCUCUGAAAAAAAAGAAAAAAAAUUCUUUGUAGAGACAAGGUUUCACUAUAUUGCUCAGGCUGGAAUCAAACUCCUGGCCUCAAGCAAUCCUCCUGUAUUGACCUCUCAAAGGGCUGGGAUUACAGGCGGGAGCCACUGUGCUCAGCCUGCAUUUCCUGAUGCAACUCGUUCACAUUCCAUCCAUUAUCAACAAUCCCCACAACUUCACCUCCUGCCAUGGAUGCCUGAGGCUGGGGAAGGGGAACUUCAUUCGGGUGUGGGCGUCACCUUAGCCACAGAGAACCUAAAAGAGUGAUCAAGCCUCACCUGAGGUUGGGAGUUCGAGACCAGCCUGACCAACAUGGGGAAACCCCAUCUCUACUAAAAAUACAAAAUUAGCCAGGUGUGGUGGCGUGUGCCUGUAAUCCCAGCUACACGGGAGGCUGAGGCAGGAGAAUCGCUUGAACCCGGGAGGCGGAGGUUGUGGUGAGCCGAGAUCGCGCCGUUGCACUCCAGCCUGGGCAACGAGAGUGAAACUCCGUCUCGAAAAAAAAAAAAAAAGACUGAUCAAGCCGACUGAAAGUCAGGGUGCUCUGUUAUUAUAAUUGGUUCCAACACGUCUUCGUUCAGCCACAAGAAGUUUAUUUGGUUCAGAAGCAGAGUGCUAGCUUCAGGCACAGUUUGAUCCAGCUGAUGGGCACUGCAACCUCCUGCAUGUAAACAGCAGGUUUGAAGUGAACCGUGGUAGCACUAUGACUAUAAAGACAAACGAGGAGAACUUGCUUUACUUCACUUCAUUCCAUGUGAUCACUUGUGCUUAAAAUUUGAAUCAGUGAAACAGGGCGGUGGGAACCGCAAGCUGAAAUAUUUUUGUUAUAGUGUGGAUUUUAGCUCAUAUAUUACACAUUUUACUGAAUUCAAAUAAUGUCUUUAAAAUUGAAAUUUAGCCAGGAGUGGUGGCUCACGCCUGUAAUCCCAGCACUUUGGGAGGCCGAGGCGGGAUUUCGAGACCAGCCUGGCCAAUAUGGUGAAAACCUGUCUCUGCUAACAAUACAAAAAUUAGCUGGGCGUGGUGGCACGGGCGUGUAGUCCCAGCUACUCAGGAGGCUGAGGCAGAAGAAUCGCUAGAACCCGGGGAGCCGAGAUUGGGCCACUGCACUCCAGCCUGGGCGACAGAAUAAGACUCUGUCUCAAAAAAAUAUUAAAUAAAUAAAUAAAUAAAAUACAAUUGAAAUUUAUUUUUUUUGGCCAGGUACGUUGGCUCAUGCUUUGGGAGGUCAACGGAGGAGGAUUACUCGAGGCCAGGAGUUUGAGACCAGCCUGGGCAACAUAGUGAGAUCCUGUCUCUACAAAAAAAUUUAAAAAUUAGCCAAGCGUGCCUGUGGUCCCAACUUCUUGGGAGGCUGAGGUGGAGGAUUGCUUAAGCCUGGGAGGCUAAGGCUGCAGUGAGCCGUGACUGCACUACUGUACUCCAGCCUGGGUGACAGAGUGAGAUCUUGUCUCAGAAAAAAAAAAAAAAAAAAAGGAAAGAAAUUUAUUGUUUUUUAAAAGUGUAAUUGUUGGGUUUUUUUUUUUUGAGAUGGAGUUUCACUCUCGUCACCCAGGCUGGCGUGCAGUGGCGCGAUCUCGGCUCACUGCAACCUCCACCUCCCGUGUUCAAGUGAUUCUCCUGCCUCAGCCUCCCCAGUAGCUGGGAUUACAAGCACACGCCACCACGCCCAGCUCAUUUUCGUAUUUUUAGUAGAGAUGGGGUUUCGCCAUGUUGGCCAGGCUGGUCUCUAACUCCUGACCUUAGGUGAUCUACCUGAGGCCUCCCAAAGUGCUGGGAGUGCAGGUGUGAGCCACCAUGACCUGCCAAUUUUUGGUUUUGAAACCGAAGAAUAAUUAGGAAAAUGAUGAUUAUUCCUAUUACAUGAUUAUAAUUUAAAAUAGUUUUGUUGAAUGGAUACGGGUGCUGAAAUAAUGCAUUCUGGGUAUCAAAUGGAUGCUUGGAGUGGAUGGAUAGAUUGGAUACCUGGUCCCUCCAAAUCUCAUGUUGAAAUCUGAUUCCUGGUGUUGGUGGUGGAGCCUACUGGGAGUCUUGGGGUCAUGUGCCUCUUGGUGCCAUCCUCUUGUCCCCUCGGGAAGGAGUGAGUUCUUGCUCUGUUAGUUUUUGCCAGAGCUGAUGUUGAAACGAGCCUGGCACCUCCCGCACUCCUCUCUUCCUUCCUCUCUUGCCAUCUGAUGCCAGCUCCCCUUCCCCUUCUGCCAUGAGUGGAAGCUCCCUGAGGGCCUCACCAGAAGCAGAUGCUGGCGCCAUGUUUCUUGUACAGCCUGCAGAACCUUGAGCCAAAUAAACCUCUUUUCUUCAUAAGUUACCCAGCCUCGAGUAUUCCUUUAUAGCAACACAAACAGGCUCGGACAGAACGCCACUGCUGCCUCCCCAACCCCUGUGAGUCCUUCCAUGUACACACCCGCCUCGGAAUCUGCUCAUUGUGGGAGGACUCUCCAGCUUACCCACUGAGACUGAGUAGCAGUAGACAUGCCCCCUUGCGGCCCAAGGAACGACUGGUUGGUACAUUACUGUGCUAAUGGCACUUUAAUUGCAGACUUUCAGGGACAAGAAACUUUUGUGUUUCACCCCAGUAAAUGACAGGCCCUAAAGUAAACUGUGAAGGACAAUGCCAGCAAAAGUUUGAGGCCUGGCGCUCUUUACAGUAAGGCUUUGUGCGGUGAUCUACCCGUUCCAAACCUAAGUUUCCUCGCUGGCAAAACAGGGAUAAAGUUUCUGGUGCACAAAUGCCACAGAAUUGCUGUGGAGGUCAAGUGGCGUAGUCCAUGUGACACCCUGGAGGACUAAAUGAUGAAGACAAAGGUGUGUGUGCGAACCAUUUUCACCCAGUCCUCUCCUGCUCACCGCCUCUCUCUGAGCUGGGACGUUCACAUGCAUCGACUUCGGAUUCCAGCUCUAGGUUUGCUGGUUGUGUGCAUCUGCUGCAUUGCUCCAAUUCUGU